GAGCGAAAUGAUGGCGUACCAUCUUUCGGGACUGACCUCUCGAAUGGAGACAAUUAUGUGCUCUUCUGAUCACUC